CUUCUCUCUUCCCCAUUCUUCCCUGGCUCCCUCAUCCACAACGCGAUCUCCAUCCAUGGCCGGAGCUAUCUGGUGGUAGCCCCCCCUUCCCCCUUCGUCAGCAACGCCAGCGGACGCGCAGCCCCCUGCUCUGCCCCGCCCCUCCCCUUCGCCAGCACCGCCGGCAGCCGCGCAGGCCCCUCCUCUGCCCCGCCCCUUCUUCCUAUCCGAUGACGCCGGGACCUGCCUCCUCCUGGCGACGCCUGAGUGCUCGAGCUCGGCAUGCUCGCCGGCGACGCCGGGGCCCUCCCUCGUGCUGACGCACUCGCCGUGGCCGCGCAGGCCCCUUCUUUGCCCCGCCCCUUCUUCCUAUCUGGUGACGCUGGGGCCUGCCUCCUCCUGGUGAUGCCGGGGCGCUCGAGCUCGGCAUGCUCGCCGGCGACGCCGGGCCCUUCCCUCGUACUGAUGCACCCGCCACGCCACGAACUUCCCUCCUCCCUUCUCGGGACGCCAUCAAGGUCCAAUUCCAACUCUUGUUCUCCCCUCGAUCCGGAUGCUCUGCACUCCGCCCCCGUCUUGAUUUCCAUCUUGAUUAGGAUGACCACGAAGACCUCCGCGUGUUGUGCUGCUGCUCAGGACAUUGUAGGUCCCUGCUCGCCAACUCGCAGGAGGCUGUUUAUCGUUCGGUAAAAAAAGAAUACCCUGAGGGAGAAGGAGGUGCCGAAAGGGGAUGGGAGCAACAAGUUUGAAUCGAAAGAGUUUAUUGUACCAUCAAUGGCCGUGCUGGACAGGAGGGGCCAGCGAAGUACUUUUAGUUAUGAGUUUGCUAAACCAGUGAAAUCUAAUAUUCCUGAGAUUGAAGGAUGUAACAUCGCAAAUGUUGUACUACAGCUGAAAACUCUUGGCAUUGAUGUGUAACCAUCAAGGUGUGCUGCUGUGGAGACACAGAUAUGCAGAGUCGGAGGUCACAUCGACAUCCUUCUUUCAUGCUUAUUAUAUAGUGUGAUCCAAACAAAACCUGGAAGUUAAAACAAAAGAUAAGUGCUAGGUCCAGAAUUCCAUGUUUAGAAUCUCUUUGUGUUCAUUGCUGGUUAUGUUGUCUUUAGUUUUGUGUGCACACAUUACAAUUUUAUCUAUGGCUAUUAGUGUUAGGGACUCAGGAUACUUUUUACUCCAUGAUGAAAUUGACACUUCUUGAUAGUUUUAAUUUAGUUAGUUCAUGUGUGCUUGGCAAUGAAACCAGUUAUAUUUGAGACCGAGGUCAUAAUCACAUAUGCACUUCAGAGAAAAAACAACCAUCAUAAAUUUGCAAUAUUUCAUCAUUUCUGUCAAUGAUCCCAGCAGCUUAAAUUUUGCUGGUAGUACAAUCUUAUGUUAUGGAAUUGAAAGAAUAAAUUGAAAUUUCCACGUUCCCAAAUGAAUGGUGUAAGUAAUCAGAACAAGAACAGAAUAACAAGUGUCACACAUUUAAAGUCUGAACUUUUUCAUUUUGAGACAGUUGAUAUGUCAAUGAUUUUUAAAAAUAAAUCACACUAAUAAACGACUCUGACAUAAAGAGUUAGAGGUCACAUCGGCAUCAUUCUUGUUUAGCACCCUAUUAUGUAGCGCGAUGUGAUCAAAACCUGCAAAUAAAAUAAGAGAGAAGUGUUACAUUCAGAGUUAGUUAUAUAGGUACAAAAUCAAAGGUGCAAAGAAAACACGAACGAUUGCAUGUACCUCACCCCUCUAAAACAUCUCUGUAGACAAUGUUUUUGGUGCUUCUUCCAGAUUUAUCAACCUCCUUGUUAGGCUUGGCUAUAAUCCGCGGCGUCUUUCUUGAGACACCCCUUGACAAUGCAACAUAUAGUUGGCCAUGUGAGAAAACAGGUUCUGGAAGGUAAAUACCAACAUUCGGGAUGGUAUGACCCUGUGCCUUGUUAAUGGUCAUCGCAAAACUCAGGCGGAUAGGGAAUUGUUUUCUCUUAAGCUUGAAGGGAAGUGAGGUGUCCUCGGAGGGUGACAUAGGGAUCCUAGGUAUGAACACCCUCUUUCCAGCAUGCUGGCCACCAACAAUCUCUACAUCAAUUGCAUUAUCCUGGAAGGCCCUGGUCAUAAGCUGUGUUCCAUUACAUAGCCCAUUAUGAGGGUCGAGGUUCCGUAGCAAAAUGGCUAGGCAGUUGAUUUUUACUCUCAAGACAUGCGGGGGCAACCCAUUUGGUGUGAUCGAGUUCAGGAAGUCAAUCGUGUAAUUAUUAUGGAAGUCAUCCUCGAUAUAACCAAAGCUAUGGUACACCUUUUCUUCGCCUGGAAACUUGGAGAUCAUCUUGUCAUUCAGGUCAUCCACAUGCUCGUUUUUGGUCGAGAGAAUUGCACGUGUGCUGCUCAUGUACUCUCUCGACCUAGCAUUGGUGUGUAGGGAUGGGAAGACAUCUUCGAUAAGCUUGUUAAUAGGUUGUUCAUCGUCGGUAUAAGCAAUCACAAUGUCAGAUGCUAUACCGAAUGUAGCAGUUAUGAUCGCUAUUAGGCCCAUCGAACGAACCUUUGCAAACAAUGCCUUGUACAUGUACGUCUUCCCAAUGCCUCUUGGACCGUCAACAAAGAAUAUCUGGAUUUUUGGGUUUGUCACAUGAUCCAUUAUGUCAUUGAAACAAGCUAGUUGCUCAUUGUUCAAACAACUGAAUAGAUCUAGAUGUUCUUGGUCCGCUUUGACUUGUCUCUCCUUUGUUACCUCUCUAGCAUCAACGUCAAAAGAACCAUCUGCGUCAACCAGAUCCGGAAAUCCAUAGAGUUUAAUAUCCUUUCACAUGGAUUGCAGCAGAUCCCUCAUAUCCCCAAGGACCAUCUGCUCAAUAUGCUUAUUUUGCUCAUGGGCUUGUCAUUGUCUCUUUAAUAUCUCCUCUCUAUUUUGUGCAUAUCGCUCCCUUUCCAUCUGAUUCUUAAUCUCAUUAUGGCCUGAGUAGAUGAAGAAUAGAUCAGUAUACAUCAUUAUAACUGGGCCAUGUAGGAUGAAGUUCAUCUUCAUUACCGUGUGAUACAACCAGUUGUGUUUGUGCCCCAGGCAAUUUUCUUCUGUUUGUAAACCUCACGGCGUCUCUUAUUAAUCUCAUCCUUAUUUUGUGCAUACCAUUCUCUAUCCCUCUUGCCUUUUUUACUUCUUUAGGGUAUGCAAUCAAUGGCACAAUUCAUCAGUUGAGCUACAAAAACUGAAAUUGUGUGCUUGUGUAAUGCUCAUCACCCAAGGAUUGAAUGUUGCUUAUAUCCUGGAACGGGGUGAGCGUCCCGUUGGGAUUGGUCGGGGCUAUACGAAGUCCUUGAACCCUGUGAAUGUCAAGAAUGUUAUGACACAAUUGUAAUGGAAGGAAUACUAUUAGCACAACACUGACAGAGUGUAGUUUUAUGUUCAACUCCAUCCCACUGUUUGCCAUCAAAAAGCUUUCUUAUGGUGCCUCUGCAACCAAUUGAAUUCAUUUUGCACUAAUAUACCUGCAAGAAUGCAUCAGGAUGUAGUAGGUUGUAAUACUGUAUAUCUUAGGCAGACUUUAUUUGUGUUCACAUGAAUUGGAACUGAGCAUUGAAUGAUCCAUAUGCAGCUUCAUGAGGCAUUUAGGUGAAGUCAGUCCAACGCUCAUCAAGGAUCAUGUUAGCAUAUGGUUGACAAAUGAGCAUGCAUCUACGGAGCGGAGUAGAGGCGUCUUUUAGCCUAAUGAAGUCUUGGCGGCAGCUGCGUGUAAAAGCCUUACCAACUUCAGAUCAGAGAAGAGCAUGCACCCGUGCCGGCGAAGAGCUCAUCGUCGCCGCUUUGGGAUGGUGCCUGGGCGGCUGCACCUGUGUUGGGGAAGAGCUCGUCAUUGCGGUCGUCGUUGGGUGACUCGGCGAGCUCGUCGUCGCGCCGGUCGUCGGGUGCCUCGGCGGCUGCGCAGGGCAGCGACGACGCAUGUAAGCUGGACGGCGGAUUGAUUCCCUGGAUAUAUUUCCGAUAAGUUAGCACAUUUGUUUCCGUAUAUGACUCUCCGUGUAAAUUGGAUGUGGGAUGUUUCCUUUGUGCAAGCGUGAGCGUUGGCAGAGUUUUCGUCCGCCCUGGAAAACUGCUAAACGCACUUCGUUUGUGGGUUGGUGUAAUCAUGACGGCUAGAUCUAAUUAAGCGAUUUGAUCGUGAGGCUCCAAUUAAUCGGAAAUGUUAUGUGUAGAUUAGGCUGUGCGCGUUUAGCGUUG